rnacentral:rRNA from 1 species
GAUGAACGCUAGCGGCAGGCCUAACACAUGCAAGUCGAGGGGUAGCAGGAUUAAGCUUGCUUAAUUGCUGACGACCGGCGCACGGGUGCGUAACGCGUAUGCAACCUAUCUUAUACUGGGGUAUAGCCCGGAGAAAUUCGGAUUAAUCCCCCAUAGUACUAAUGAAUCGCAUGGUUUAUUAGUUAAAGCAUUGCGGUAUAAGAUGGGCAUGCGUCCUAUUAGCUAGAUGGUGAGGUAACGGCUCACCAUGGCUACGAUAGGUAGGGGGCCUGGGAGGGUGGUCCCCCACACUGGUACGGAGACACGGACCAGACUCCUACGGGAGGCAGCAGUUAGGAAUAUUGGUCAAUGGGCGCAAGCCUGAACCAGCCAUGCCGCGUGCAGGAAGAAUGCCCUAUGGGUUGUAAACUGCUUUUAUUUGGGAAUAAACCUCUUUACGUGUAGAGAGCUGAAGGUACCAAAUGAAUAAGCACCGGCUAACUCCGUGCCAGCCGCCGCCGUAA